rnacentral:rRNA from 1 species
GUGCACGCUGGCGGUAGGCCUAACACAUGCCAGUCGAACGGCAGCACAGUAAGAGCUUGCUCUUACGGGUGGCGAGUGGCGGACGGGUGAGGAAUACAUCGGAAUCUACUUUUUCGUGGGGGAUAACGUAGGGAAACUUACGCUAAUACCGCAUACGACCUACGGGUGAAAGCAGGGGAUCUUCGGACCUUGCGCGAUUGAAUGAGCCGAUGUCGGAUUAGCUAGUUGGCGGGGUAAAGGCCCACCAAGGCGACGAUCCGUAGCUGGUCUGAGAGGAUGAUCAGCCACACUGGAACUGAGACACGGUCCAGACUCCUACGGGAGGCAGCAGUGGGGAAUAUUGGACAAUGGGCGCAAGCCUGAUCCAGCCAUACCGCGUGGGUGAAGAAGGCCUUCGGGUUGUAAAGCCCUUUUGUUGGGAAAGAAAAGCAGCAGGUUAAUACCCCGCUGUUCUGACGGUACCCAAAGAAUAAGCACCGGCUAACUACGUG